GAAAUCCGCCCGUACCGUAAACCGACACAGGUAGGCGGGGAGAGAAUCCUAAGGUGCGCGGGAAAACCCUCGUUAAGGAACUCGGCAAAUUGCAUCCGUAACUUCGAGAGAAGGAUGACCCUGAGUAGGCGAAAGGGAAAAACCCCCGGAACAGAAAAGGGUGGCAGAAAAGAGGCCCAAGCAACUGUUUACCAGAAACACAGGUGCCUGCGAAAGCGAAAGCUGAAGUAUAGGUGCUGACGCCUGCCCGGUGCUGGAAGGUUAAGGAGAGAGGUCAGCGAAAGCGAAGCUUUGAACUGAAGCCCCAGUGAACGGCGGCCGUAACAAUAACGGUCCUAAGGUAGCGAAAUUCCUUGUCGGGUAAGUUCCGACCCGCAUGAAAGGCGUAAUGAUUUGGGCACUGUCUCAACGAGGGGCCCGGUGAAAUUGAAAUACCUGUGAAGAUGCAGGUUACCCGCGACUAGACAGAAAGACCCCAUGGAGCUUCACUGCAGCUUGAGAUUGAAUCCCGGUGACAUAUGCACAGGAUAGGUGGGAGGCUAAGAAGUAAUGCCUUUGGGUGUUACAGAGCCGAUGUUGGGAUACCACCCUUAUGUUGCUGAGAUUCUAACACGGAGACUAACAACCUCGUGGACCAUCUCAGGCAGGCGGUUUGACUGGGGCGGUCGCCUCCUAAAAUGUCACGGAGGCGCCCAAAGGUUCCCUCAGGCCGGACAGAAACCGGCCGAAGAGUGCAAGGGCAGAAGGGAGCUUGACUGCGAGACAGACAAGUCGAGCAGAGACGAAAGUCGGGCUUAGUGAUCCGGUGGUACUGAGUGGAAAGGCCAUCACUCAACGGGUAAAAGCUACCCUGGGGAUAACAGGCUAAUCUCUCCCAAGAGUUCAUAUCGACGGGGAGGUUUGGCACCUCGAUGUCGGCUCAUCACAUCCUGGAGCUGGAGUAGGUUCCAAGGGUUGGGCUGUUCGCCCAUUAAAGUGGUACGCGAGCUGGGUUCAAAACGCCGUGAGACAGUUUGGUUCAUAUCCAUCGCGGGCGCAAGAAGUUUGGGGGAGGCUGCUCCUAGUACGAGAGGACCGGAGUGGACGGAUCAACGGUGUACCAGUUGUCACGCCAGUGGCACGGCUGGAAAGCCGCAUCCGGAAAGGAUAAACGCUGAAAGCAUCUAAGCGUGAAGCCCGUCCCGAGAUGAGACUUCUCAUCAGCAAUGAGUAAGACCCCUUAAAGACGAUGAGGUUGAUAGGCUGUGAGUGGAAGUGGCGCAAGUCAUGGAGCGACGCAAUACUAAUAGGUCGAGGUCUUAGCU
rnacentral:rRNA from 1 species